rnacentral:rRNA from 1 species
GAUGAACGCUGGCGGCGUGCCUAAUACAUGCAAGUCGAGCGAACGGACGAGAAGCUUGCUUCUCUGAUGUUAGCGGCGGACGGGUGAGUAACACGUGGAUAACCUACCUAUAAGACUGGGAUAACUUCGGGAAACCGUAGCUAAUACCGGAUAAUAUUUUGAACCGCAUGGUUCAAAAGUGAAAGACGGUCUUGCUGUCACUUAUAGAUGGAUCCGCGCUGCAUUAGCUAGUUGGUAAGGUAACGGCUUACCAAGGCAACGAUGCAUAGCCGACCUGAGAGGGUGAUCGGCCACACUAGAACUGAGACACGGUCCAGACUCCUACGGGAGGCAGCAGUAGGGAAUCUUCCGCAAUGGGCGAAAGCCUGACGGAGCAACGCCGCGUGAGUGAUAAAGGUCUUCGGAUCGUAAAACUCUGUUAUUAGGGAAGAAAAUAUGUGUAAGUAACUGUGCACAUCUUGACGGUACCUAAUCAGAAAGCCACGGCUAACUACGUG